rnacentral:rRNA from 1 species
UAGGGAAUAUUGCGCAAUGGGGGAAACCCUGACGCAGCAACGCCGCGUGGAGGAUGACACUUUUCGGAGCGUAAACUCCUUUUGUUAGGGAAGAAUAAUGACGGUACCUAACGAAUAAGCACCGGCUAACUCCGUGCCAGCAGCCGCGGUAAUACGGAGAGUGCAAGCGUUACUCGGAAUCACUGGGCGUAAAGGACGCGUAGGCGGAUUAUCAAGUCUCUUGUGAAAUCUAACGGCUUAACCGUUAAACUGCUUGGGAAACUGAUAAUCUAGAGUAAGGGAGAGGCAGAUGGAAUUCUUGGUGUAGGGGUAAAAUCCGUAGAUAUCAAGAAGAAUACCUAUUGCGAAGGCGAUCUGCUGGAACUUAACUGACGCUAAUGCGUGAAAGCGUGGGGAGCAAACAGGAUUAGAUACCCUGGUAGUCCACGCCCUAAACGAUGUAUACCGGUUGUUGCUGUGCUAGUCACGGCAGUAAUCCACCUAACGGAUUAAGUAUACCGCCUGGGGAGUACGGUCGCAAGAUUA